CAGCCUCUCUCCCCUCGUACUCCCCGCUCCCUUCCCAUGCUGCUGAUGGAAGAGCCACUGGUUGUCACUCUGGGGGAGGACCCAGCAGCAGCAGCAGAGGACUCAGGAACAGCAGCAGCAGAGGACUCAGGAACAGCAGAAACAGUUGAGGACCCAAGAACAGCAGAAGCAGUUGAGGACCCAGGAGUAUCAGCAGCAGCAGCAGCAGCUGAGGAUCCACUGGGAGCCUGACACAGUGACAGGAGGCAGCAGUAUGUGCUCGCAGUACUCCUGCAGUGCAUGGUGUAACCCAGCAGCCGGCUACCACCAGUACCAUGACUGAGGAUGAAGCACCACGCUAUUCUACUAAAGGACUUAUGUGGGAUCCGGAGAAAUCACCACAAUAUCUUUAUGUGAAGAGUCUCUCUACUGUGUAGCUAGCAGAUGG